CCGCUCAAUAUAACAAACCAUCAAGUUAUUAAGCCAACCAUCUAUCAUCUUGCUGUGCAACUCAGUCUUGAUGAUUUUCAUUGAUGAGAAGGCCCUUUCAACUGUUGCCGUCGCUACCGGUAGUAGCAAUGCCAACUCAAUGAGGCGAUAAACAGUAGGAAACAUGACAUGCCUUUCAAGUUCAACCAUCAUUUUAGCUACGCUUACAAUAUCAUGACAAGAUCUAAAGUCUUCAAUUCUUCUCAUAUGGACAACGAAUAGAUCAAGGUUAUCUUCUAUAUGUCCACGUUCAUAAUCAGAGAAAUCAUCAUGGUAAAUCUCUGUGAGCCUAGCAAGCUUAUUCAGGUUGAGCCUAGAAAAGGAGUUUCUUGGGUCAAGACAAGAGAAGUUCUGGAGCAGCUCUGUGGUGGAUAAGUCUCUGUACUAGGGUCUUUGUGGGGCUGCAGC
rnacentral:lncRNA from 1 species